AGCAGCCGCGGUAAUUCCAGCUCCAAUAGCGUAUAUUAAAGUUGUUGCAGUUAAAAAGCUCGUAGUUGAAUUUCGGGGCCAGUAGGUUGGUCGUGCCACUGGUAUGCACUGGCCUUACUGGUCCCUCCCUCUUGUAGAACCGUGAUGCCAUUAAUUUGGUGUUGCGGGGAAACAGGACUGUUACUUUGAAAAAUUAGAGUGCUUAAAGCAGGCUCGCGCUUGAAUACAUUAGCAUGGAAUAACGGAAUAGGACGAUCGAACCUAUUUUGUUGGUUUCUAGGAUCGACGUAAUGAUUAAUAGGGAUAGUUGGGGGCAUUAGUAUUCAAUUGUCAGAGGUGAAAUUCUUGGAUUUAUUGAAGACUAACUACUGCGAAAGCAUUUGCCAAGGAUGUUUUCAUUAAUCAAGAACGAAAGUUAGGGGAUCGAAGACGAUCAGAUACCGUCGUAGUCUUAACCAUAAACUAUGCCGACUAGGGAUCGGAUGAAGUUAAUUUUUA
rnacentral:rRNA from 1 species